rnacentral:rRNA from 1 species
UGGACGAACGCUGGCGGCGUGGAUUAGGCAUGCAAGUCGGACGGUAGGGCUUUAUCGUAAGAUAGAGUUUGAGAGUGGCGAACGGGUGAGUAACACGUAGGAAUCUACCCUUAAGACGGGGACAACCCAGGGAAACUUGGGCUAAUACCGGAUGUGAGCAACUUUUAGUUGUUUGAAAGGUGGCGUAAGCUGUCGCUUGGGGAUGAGCCUGCGUCCUAUUAGUUAGUUGGUGAGGUAACGGCUCACCUAGGCAAUGAUAGGUAGGCGGCCUUAACGGGUGGUCGCCCACACUGGGAUUGAGAUACGGCCCAGACUCCUACGGGAGGCAGCAGUCGAGAAUAGUCUACAAUGGUCGGAAGACUGAUAGUGCGACGCCGCGUGAACGAUGAAUCCCUUCGGGGUGUAAAGUUCUUUUAUAUGUGAGCAGUGCUUCUUAUAUUAACAGUAUGGGGAGAGAGAUAUUAGCAUAUGAAUAAGCAACGGCUAACUCCGUG